rnacentral:rRNA from 1 species
GAUGAACGCUGGCGGCGUGCUUAACACAUGCAAGUCGAACGAUGAACCGGGUGCUUGCACUCGGGGAUUAGUGGCGAACGGGUGAGUAACACGUGAGCAACCUGCCCCUGACUCUGGGAUAAGCGCUGGAAACGGCGUCUAAUACUGGAUAUGUCCCGUCACCGCAUGGUGUGCGGGUGGAAAGAUUUUUCGGUUGGGGAUGGGCUCGCGGCCUAUCAGCUUGUUGGUGAGGUAAUGGCUCACCAAGGCGUCGACGGGUAGCCGGCCUGAGAGGGUGACCGGCCACACUGGGACUGAGACACGGCCCAGACUCCUACGGGAGGCAGCAGUGGGGAAUAUUGCACAAUGGGCGGAAGCCUGAUGCAGCAACGCCGCGUGAGGGAUGACGGCCUUAGGGUUGUAAAGCUCUUUCACCUGGGAAGAUAAUGACGGUACCAGGAGAAGAAGCCCCGGCUAACUUCGUGCCAGCAGCCGCUGUAA